UGCCAGACUCCUACGGGAGGCAGCAGUGGGGAAUAUUGCACAAUGGGGGAAACCCUGAUGCAGCGACGCCGCGUGAAGGAUGAAGUAUUUCGGUAUGUAAACUUCUAUCAGCAGGGAAGAAAAUGACGGUACCUGACUAAGAAGCCCCGGCUAACUACGUGCCAGCAGCCGCGGUAAUACGUAGGGGGCAAGCGUUAUCCGGAUUUACUGGGUGUAAAGGGAGCGUAGACGGUAUGGCAAGUCUGAUGUGAAAACCCGGGGCUCAACCCCGGGACUGCUUUGGAAACUGCCCGGCUAGAGUGCUGGAGAGGGAAGCGGAAUUCCUAGUGUAGCGGUGAAAUGCGUAGAUAUUAGGAGGAACACCAGUGGCGAAGGCGGCUUACUGGACAGUAACUGACGUUGAGGCUCGAAAGCGUGGGGAGCAAACAGGAUUAGAUACCCUGGUAUCU
rnacentral:rRNA from 1 species